rnacentral:rRNA from 1 species
UACGUAGGGUGCAAGCGUUGUCCGGAAUUAUUGGGCGUAAAGAGCUCGUAGGCGGUUUGUCGCGUCGAAUGUGAAAACCCGGGGCUCAACCCCGGGCCUGCAUCCGAUACGGGCAGACUAGAGUUCGGUAGGGGAGUCUGGAAUUCCUGGUGUAGCGGUGAAAUGCGCAGAUAUCAGGAGGAACACCGGUGGCGAAGGCGGGACUCUGGCCGACUGACUGCGCUGAGGCGAGCGAAGACGUGGGGGAGCAAACAGG